UCUGCCCCUAGAAGCAAUGCAAGGAUGACUGCUGCAUCUCAUGUGUGUCUGUAGGUGGCAGGAAGAGUGAAACUAUGUCUAUGCUCAAUGUUCUGAAUUACGAACAUGUGAAUGAUUAGUAGUCUACUGG
rnacentral:snoRNA from 1 species